CAGCGCCCUGUGACUGGCCAAACAGACAAGGCCCGCGCUACGAGCGCGCCCGUCAGCUGCCAUCGCCCGGUGACGCUGCGCCGGACAGCCCGACGCUACGGCCCUUUAAGCUUCCCAUUGGUUCUCCCGGCAGCAGCUUGACGUUGGCAGCCCACUCGCAGCGCCCCCUGGGAGCUCUCGCGCCCAGUGACGUCAUCCGUCUCCCUCCUCCCCAGCUCAGAGGCUAUUGCGCAUGCGCCGGACCGGCGCCGCUGCUCUGGCCACCUCGCGCGCGUUGGGCGGCGCGAGCGGCCGCUGGCUGUGAGGGAGCGGGAGCGGUCGCCGUUACUUCGAGGAUCGGUAUCGGGCGCUGCGCCGGCAGCCGCGCUGAGCGGCGAGGGCGCUGGCGGGUGCGAGGCUGGCACCCUGGACGCUGUCCUGUGGCGUGGGGCUUCUGCCCUUCCCCCGCUACCUGAGGUGCUGACCUGAAAAUGAACUGAGAUGAAAAAUGGAACUUCAUUACUGUUGUGUGUGAGAGAGCUUAAAAUAUUCUUUAAAGCUGUGGAAGCAGACAUCAUGAACAGAAAGGUCAUGAAAGCAAGCUGUAAUACAAGCAGACCAGACCAGUACGAUGUACUACUGACAGGAUGACAAACAAAACAGCAAGAGGUGAACAAAUAAACAGGAGUCAGUGCCACAGAAGAACUCAAUCUGGGACUUAAACUGGGGUGCAGAACACCAAGGUGCAGUUUCCCAGCUCUGCUACAGCCAUCAUACAACACCCUGCGCAAAUCGCCCUGCCUCCAUUCCUGUCUCCAACAAUGGGAAAAUAAUUGUUUCACCAUUCUUUAUUAGUUCAUUAAUUCAGUGGGGCAGCAAAUAUGUCAUAUAGGUUAAUUUUCACAUGCUUAAAGGAGUAGGAUCCUAAUUUUGUAGGACAGAUACCUACAGACCCUAGUACUUGUAUACUCAUCAUCAUUACUACAGAUCUUCAUAACAGCUAAAUGCGGAGUAUAUAUAAAUUUGACCAAGGUAUGUGGUGAGUGCUUUUUCAUUUCUCAGUAAAAAUAACUGCUUUUACUAAAUAAAAAGUGUCAAUGGAACCAACUUCUACUGCUACAAAAAUACAGCUUUGCAGCUGUUUAGUCAGCAGUAAAAUAUACUGUUACACUGCUUUCAAAAUCACUACCUUCACCUGCUCACAGGGAGGUACAUAACUUGCACUUAUAUUAACCAUAUUUUAGACCAUUCUAGCACUUUCCAUCACUAUUUUAACAUUUAUAAUUAAUUCACUAUAAUAAUAAAUACACUCUAUCAACUUCUUGCAUGUACAGAAUCACAGAUGCUGAGAAACCAGGCUUUUACAACUAACUUAGCAAGUUUGCCCAUAAUACUGUUGUGCUGUGAGAACGUUCCUCUGUCCAACUGUGUCUCAAAUAUAUUAAUCUAUUCCUCUGAUUUUAAAACAACUUAGAGCAACCAUUGAGCACAUGCAGCCUUGUUUGAAAAAGUAUAUUUGAAAAGCAAAUGCUUCUCCUUCCUCCUGCACAGCUCCAGUUGACAAAAAAUUAAUCAGCAAGAAGAAAAAUGCCAUUUGUCACAUACAACUUACACCAGUUACCAAAUGCUUCAAGUAAAAGAAAAGGAACACUACAAAAAGCAAAUAUGAUAGGUCUGCACUGCUACAUAAGUUUUUAUUUAAAAAUAUAAAGGGAACUUUAAAUCUCAUUUAAAAAAUAAUCACUGUAUCAUUGUAAUCCUUAUUAACUUCCCAUCUGUUAGUAGUAUAUUUUCUAAACCAUAUGCUAUGGCAAUUAACUGGACAACCUACCUCCCCCUCAGUAAAAGUAUUUCCUAUCAGAUUUCUCUCUCUCUGCUCCAAACUCAGUAGAUGUUCUCCUUUGACCUUUUACUACAAGUUGCAGGAAACAGAACUCCUGACUUGCAUUCCUUACUUCAUCACUUCAUAGAGUUUUUGUCACUUUGCAUCUUUGUCUACUGACAGAAGCAGCUGUAGUCUGAACAUUUAAGUCUCACUUGUUUUUUCAAUGGUUUUAAGAUUACUUUCCUUCCUUCAUAGAAAAACAUCCACUGCACUAAUCCGAAUUCAAGUGCACUAACACAUUGCAUCAGUCUCCUGAAGAACAAACAUGAAAUGUAAUUCAUGUUGCUCCCGUGGAUACUGUUUUCAUUGUCAUAUCCAAUGGUAUGCUGGAUGGGAUACUGUUCAACUGGAAGUUUCACUAAACAGCUGUUGAACACUA